GAUGAACGCUGGCGGUAUGCUUAACACAUGCAAGUCGAACGGACUCUUCGGAGUUAGUGGCGGACGGGUGAGUAACGCGUGAGAAUCUGGCUUUGGGUUCGGGACAACCACUGGAGACGGUGGCUAAUACCGGAUGUGCCGAGAGGUAAAAGAGAAAUUGCCUGAAGAUGAGCUCGCGUCUGAUUAGCUAGUUGGUGAGGUAAAGGCUCACCAAGGCAGCGAUCAGUAGCUGGUCUGAGAGGAUGACCAGCCACACUGGGACUGAGACACGGCCCAGACUCCUACGGGAGGCAGCAGUGGGGAAUUUUCCGCAAUGGGCGAAAGCCUGACGGAGCAAUACCGCGUGAGGGAAGAAGGCUCUUGGGUUGUAAACCUCUUUUCUUAGGGAAGAACAAAAUGACGGUACCUAAGGAAUCAGCAUCGGCUAACUCCGUG
rnacentral:rRNA from 1 species